rnacentral:rRNA from 1 species
ACGGGUGCGGAACACGUACGCAACCUUCCUUUAAGCGGAGAAUAGCCCAGGGAAACUUGGAUUAAUACUCCAUAAGACAAUGGUGUGGCAUCACACAGUUGUUAAAGCUCCGGCACUUAAAGAUGGGCGUGCGGCUGAUUAGGUAGUUGGCGGGGUAACGGCCCACCAAGCCAACGAUCAGUAACUGGUGUGAGAGCACGACCAGUCACACGGGCACUGAGACACGGGCCCGACUCCUACGGGAGGCAGCAGUAAGGAAUAUUGGUCAAUGGACGCAAGUCUGAACCAGCCAUGCCGCGUGCAGGAUGAAUGCCUUCGGGUUGUAAACUGCUUUUAUAUGUGACGAUUAUGACGGUAGCAUAUGAAUAAGGAUCGGCUAACUCCGUGCCAGCAGCCGCGG